UCAAGGGCUUCUCAUGACCGAAGCACACAUUGUGCUGCUUGGAUAAACUGCUAGCAGUGAAAAGUCAAAAAGGACACGAGGGCAAAUACAAGUUUGAUCUGAUAAUAUACAUCCAAGUUGACACACACUGGUUGAGAUAGCUAUGAAGGGAAAACUCCUUCAAACACAACAACAACCUGGAUACACUUAGAAUGACUGGAGCCAAUAUAUUGUAUGUGAGAAAAAAAUAAUGGAAUUGCCAUUACCAGUUUGGAUUCUGCUAAUGAAAGGGAGAUGGAACAAGGCUAGAGGUUAUUUGGA